ACAGAGGGGGCAAGCGUUGUUCGGAAUUACUGGGCGUAAAGGGCGCGUAGGCGGCCCGCUAAGUCGAACGUGAAAUCCCCGAGCUCAACUCGGGAACUGCGUCCGAUACUGGCGGGCUUGAAUCCGGGAGAGGAAUGCGGAAUUCCAGGUGUAGCGGUGAAAUGCGUAGAUAUCUGGAGGAACGCCGGUGGCGAAGGCGGCAUUCUGGACCAAUAUUGACGCUGAGGAGCGAAAGCCAGGGGAGCAAACGGGA
rnacentral:rRNA from 1 species